rnacentral:rRNA from 1 species
AGCGAACGCUGGCGGCAGGCUUAACACAUGCAAGUCGAGCGGGCAUCUUCGGAUGUCAGCGGCAGACGGGUGAGUAACACGUGGGAACGUACCCUUCGGUUCGGAACAACUCUGGGAAACUGGAGCUAAUACCGGAUACGCCCUUAUGGGGAAAGGUUUACUGCCGAAGGAUCGGCCCGGGUCUGAUUAGCUAGUUGGUGGGGUAACGGCCUACCAAGGCGUCGAUCGGUAGCUGGUCUGAGAGGAGGAUCAGCCACACGGGGACUGAGACACGGUCCAGACACCUGGGGGAGGCAGCAGGGCGGAAUAUUGGAGGAGGGGAGCAUGGGGGAUACAGGAAUACCGGGCGGGUGCAGAAGCCAUCCGGGCCGGGGAGGUGUUUAAGGCGGAAGGAUUUGAAGUAUUUUUUUACCGGGCUGUUAUGACGGUACCCGGAGAAUAAGCCCCGGCUAACUUCGUG